rnacentral:rRNA from 1 species
UACAGAGGUCUCAAGCGUUGUUCGGAUUCAUUGGGCGUAAAGGGCGCGUAGGCGGCUUGUACAGUCAGACGUGAAAUUCCUGGGCUCAACCUGGGGGCUGCGUUUGAUACGUGCGGGCUUGAGUUCGGAAGAGGGUCGUGGAAUUCCCAGUGUAGAGGUGAAAUUCGUAGAUAUUGGGAAGAACACCGGUGGCGAAGGCGGCGACCUGGUCCGAUACUGACGCUGAGGCGCGAAAGCGUGGGGAGCAAACAGG